CGCAUGGUGGGUGUUGGAAAGAUUUAUCGGUUUUGGAUGGACUCGCGGCCUAUCAGCUUGUUGGUGAGGUAAUGGCUCACCAAGGCGACGACGGGUAGCCGGCCUGAGAGGGUGACCGGCCACACUGGGACUGAGACACGGCCCAGACUCCUACGGGAGGCAGCAGUGGGGAAUAUUGCACAAUGGGCGCAAGCCUGAUGCAGCGACGCCGCGUGAGGGAUGACGGCCUUCGGGUUGUAAACCUCUUUCAGUAGGGAAGAAGCGAAAGUGACGGUACCUGCAGAAGAAGCACCGGCUAACUACGUGCCAGCAGCCGCGGUAAUACGUAGGGUGCGAGCGUUAUCCGGAAUUAUUGGGCGUAAAGAGCUCGUAGGCGGUUUGUCGCGUCUGUCGUGAAAGUCCGGGGCUUAACCCCGGAUCUGCGGUGGGUACGGGCAGACUAGAGUGCAGUAGGGGAGACUGGAAUUCCUGGUGUAGCGGUGGAAUGCGCAGAUAUCAGGAGGAACACCGAUGGCGAAGGCAGGUCUCUGGGCUGUAACUGACGCUGAGGAGCGAAAGCAUGGGGAGCGAACAGGAUUAGAUACCCUGGUAGUCCAUGCCGUAAACGUUGGGCACUAGGUGUGGGGACCAUUCCACGGUUUCCGCGCCGCAGCUAACGCAUUAAGUGCCCCGCCUGGGGAGUACGGCCGCAAGGCUAAAACUCAAAGGAAUUGACGGGGGCCCGCACAAGCGGCGGAGCAUGCGGAUUAAUUCGAUGCAACGCGAAGAACCUUACCAAGGCUUGACAUGUUCUCGAUCGCCGUAGAGAUACGGUUUCCCCUUUGGGGCGGGUUCACAGGUGGUGCAUGGUUGUCGUCAGCUCGUGUCGUGAGAUGUUGGGUUAAGUCCCGCAACGAGCGCAACCCUCGUUCCAUGUUGCCAGCACGUCGUGGUGGGGACUCAUGGGAGACUGCCGGGGUCAACUCGGAGGAAGGUGAGGACGACGUCAAAUCAUCAUGCCCCUUAUGUCUUGGGCUUCACGCAUGCUACAAUGGCCGGUACAAUGGGUUGCGAUACUGUGAGGUGGAGCUAAUCCCAAAAAGCCGGUCUCAGUUCGGAUUGGGGUCUGCAACUCGACCCC
rnacentral:rRNA from 1 species